GAUGAACGCUGGCGGCGUGCCUUACACAUGCAAGUCGAACGGUAACAGGUCUUCGGAUGCUGACGAGUGGCGAACGGGUGAGUAAUACAUCGGAACGUACCUAGUAGUGGGGGAUAACUACUCGAAAGAGUGGCUAAUACCGCAUGAGAUCUACGGAUGAAAGCAGGGGAUCGCAAGACCUUGUGCUACUAGAGCGGCCGAUGGCAGAUUAGGUAGUUGGUGGGAUAAAAGCUUACCAAGCCGACGAUCUGUAGCUGGUCUGAGGGGACGAUCAGCCACACUGGGACUGAGACACGGCCCAGACUCCUACGGGAGGCAGCAGUGGGGAAUUUUGGACAAUGGGCGAAAGCCUGAUCCAGCAAUGCCGCGUGCAGGAUGAAGGCCUUCGGGUUGUAAACUGCUUUUGUACGGAACGAAAAGCCCCGGGUUAAUACCCUGGGGUCAUGACGGUACCGUAAGAAUAAGCACCGGCUAACUACGUGCCAGCCGCCGCAGUAA
rnacentral:rRNA from 1 species